CUCUGCUCCUAGCAUUCUCUGGCCAUUUCAGCUCAGCUGGAUAAAUCCAAGAGACCUUUAUGUACAUGAAAAGAGAUUGUACAUUUAACGAGACAUCAAAGGUAACUGACUAGAGCUAUGAUUAGCAGACAGCGGACUCCUCUUGGAUUGCAUAAACACUGUGAGAAGUGUUUCAGCAAAUACUGCCAAGCUCCAGCAGAGCCUACAAUCUCAUGUGUAGUGAUCAGUUGCC